AAAUAAUAUGAUGAUUAUUAUAUCGCCCCAGUCUGAAUAAAUCUGUUGAUCGAUUUCUCUGAUUAUAU